UUAAGGUUAAAUAUAAAACAGUAACUUACUAAAUAAAAAAUGACUUUAGCUUGGUUUUCACAGGCAGGGUCACAGAAAUGACUAUCAUGAACUGAACAUGAACAUUUAUACCACUACAUGUAAUCCACAGCCUCAACAAACAGUCCAGAGUACAUUCUAGGCAGUCUGGAGGGCUAGCUUCCUGUUGUGACAUACCCGCAGGAGCAGAUCUGUAUAUCCAGAUUUUUAUCACAGACUGCAAACAUUCACAUGAGAUGAGUAUCCAGAACCCUUAUCUUUUCCUGAUAACAAGACUGAUGUGAGGGUGACGUUAAGAAGCUUGUGGGUGGCGGUGUUCCCUAUAUUCUGAAGGAGUGAGAACUUCAUGAACCACCUGCUGACAUUGGCAUUGCGAUUGGGGAUUAACGUUUUAAACCGUUUGACUUCAGUAACAUCAGUUUGUGCCCUGAUUCUGCGUAUGAUGUACAUUAUCAACCUGGCUUAUCUGAAACUCCUUCAAAUCACUUUUGAGGUGUUCCUGAAA